UACGUAGGUGGCGAGCGUUGUCCGGAAUUACUGGGCGUAAAGGGCGUGUAGGCGGGCAUUUAAGUCAGAUGUGAAAUUUUCGGGCUUAACCUGAAAUGUGCAUCUGAUACUGGAUGUCUUGAGUGCAGGAGAGGACAGUGGAAUUCCUAGUGUAGCGGUGAAAUGCGUAGAUAUUAGGAGGAACACCAGUGGCGAAGGCGGCUGUCUGGACUGUAACUGACGCUGAGGCGCGAAAGCGUGGGGAG
rnacentral:rRNA from 1 species